rnacentral:rRNA from 1 species
UAGGGAAUCUUCCGCAAUGGACGAAAGUCUGACGGAGCAACGCCGCGUGAGCGGAGAAGGCCUUCGGGUCGUAAAGCUCUGUUGUUAGGGAAGAACAAGUAACGCAGUAACUGGCGUUACCGUGACGGUACCUAACGAGAAAGCCACGGCUAACUACGUGCCAGCAGCCGCGGUAAUACGUAGGUGGCAAGCGUUGUCCGGAAUUAUUGGGCGUAAAGCGCGCGCAGGCGGUUCCUUAAGUCUGAUGUGAAAGCCCACGGCUCAACCGUGGAGGGUCAUUGGAAACUGGGGGACUUGAGUGCAGAAGAGGAGAGCGGAAUUCCACGUGUAGCGGUGAAAUGCGUAGAGAUGUGGAGGAACACCAGUGGCGAAGGCGGCUCUCUGGUCUGUAACUGACGCUGAGGCGCGAAAGCGUGGGGAGCAAACAGGAUUAGAUACCCUGGUAGUCCACGCCGUAAACGAUGAGUGCUAAGUGUUAGAGGGUAUCCGCCCUUUAGUGCUGUAGCUAACGCAUUAAGCACUCCGCCUGGGGAGUACGCUCGCAAGAGUGAAACUCAAAGGAAUUGACGGA